rnacentral:rRNA from 1 species
CAUGUAGGCGGAUUAAUAAGUUUGAAGUGAAAUCCUAUAGCUUAACUAUAGAACUGCUUUGAAGACUGUUAAUCUAGAAUGUGGGAGAGGUAGAUGGAAUUUCUGGUGUAGGGGUAAAAUCCGUAGAGAUCAGAAGGAAUACCGAUUGCGAAGGCGAUCUACUGGAACAUUAUUGACGCUGAGAUGCGAAAGCGUGGGGAGCAAACA